rnacentral:pre_miRNA from 1 species
AGAGUACUCCCUCCGUUCAGAAUUACUUGUCGCAGAAAUGGAUGUAUCUAGACGUAUUUUAGUUCUAGUUACAUCCAUUUCUGAGACAAGUAAUUCCGAACGGAGGGAGUAGAUA